UGAAAUUAAAACUCGUAGUGUAUAUCAAAUUUUAUUUCGACUCUCUCAUUAGUCCUUCACUCCGUGCUUUCUCUCUUCUUCCCUCUCCAUCAAACUGCUUCUUUGUCUGUCUCUUCCCUCUUCACUCUCGAUCCGCUCCUUUAAAUUUCAGUUUUGAGCAGCUCUAUGUAUCAGUUUCACAAAUGAGAAACUGCAGCAGCAUUUCAAACAGGUGGAAUUGGCAAGACAGAUUGAGAAAACAGGUGUUUUUGCUCUUGCUGUCCAUGGAAGAAGAGUUUCGGAUAAACCAAGGAAUCCUGCAAAGUGGAAUGAGAUUGCUGAUGUAGUUGCUGCAUUAUCAAUUCUAGUGGUACCAAAUGGAGAUGUUUUCACUCAUGAAGAUAUUCAACGCAUCAAAAUUUCUACAUGUUCCAUAAAACUUCUUUACAAUAAGACUGCUUAUAUCAACAUUUUGCAGGGUAGAUUGUGUUGAAUGCCAGUGCAUCAGAAUUGCUACAGGUUCCAUAAAACUUUUCCAGAAUAAGACUGCUUAAAUCAAAAUUUUACAGGGUAGAUCAUAUUGAAGCACAUUAAAAUUAUCACGGGUAGAUCAUACAAUUGUGUACUUCAGAACUAGCAGUAGUAACAGCACAAGAUGUUGUGUUAAUAGUAUGAUCCUACAACCUCUUAAUAAAAAGGAACAUGGCUACAUCACUUUCAUUCAGGGUAGCAGAAUCAAAUAUGGUAGUAGUAGACCAAGUGUGCUACUACAUGAACAAUAUACAACCUUCACUAGAAUAAGUUAGUCACUUCUUCCAUAUUAUAGAUCAGAGAGUACAUGUGGUUUAAAAAUUUAGUAAUAGUAGUUCAGGUAGCCCUCACCUUGACCCUAAGUUGCUGUAGGAUUUCAGGGCGAACUUAUAUGCAAGGUUAGUUAGUGUGUAAGUUCCUUUCUUCUUAUGUUAUGGAUCAUAUCCUUUUGUUUUACAUGUCUCGAAUGUGUCAUAGUGUCUCUCCUGUUUUUAGUCCUUUUGCUGAUUGUGGGGCCCUGGGGAAAUAUGCUGAUUACUAAUACUAAUACUAUAUUGUUAUUAUAUUACUAAUACUAAUAAUAUUAUGUUGUGGCAUUUAUGACUUCAAGUUUCUACUUUCUAACUUGUUCAUUGUUAUAUACUGAUUAUCCUUCUCAAUUGGUUAGUUUUCGUCUUUCUAGAGUUUGUUGUUUAUGUCUUACUGUUGAUUUUGUGCCUUUACCAAUAUAUAAAGACUUUGAUGUUUACUAAUGGUUACAUAGGAGCCUAGCUAUUGCAGACUCUAAUGAACCCAUAUUUUACUU